UACAAAUAAUGAUUGUGGAGUACGAGUGUUUGAUAUGGAGAGAUUUCAGCUUAUAAAAUUUCUGCAGAAAAAUAGAGGAGAACGGGAAAACCAAAAUAUGCAUUGCAGCAACUAUGGUGCAAACAAAAGCAACUUAGAACAAACAAAAUUUGAAGAUGAAUAUAGAAAGAUGUAGCAUGCAAACUUGUACCUUCAACACAUCAUAUGAGCAACCAUAGACAAAUUUCAAUUUACUCCUCAUAUCAAGAACAGAUCCAAGUGCAACAAAUAUCAAGCUAUUGGAAACAUGUUCAAGAACCUCCACCAAAGAAAAUUCCAGCAAACUUCUUAUAUAUUUCCCAUCACAGUAGAAAAAUGUCUAAAUGAAACUCAACUUCCCCAGUAUAUGAACAUGGAAAAUAGCAGUUAUAUAGACAUUCCAUUAAAUAAGACUAUAUGU
rnacentral:lncRNA from 1 species